GCCUAGUUAGCUUGGUUGGUAGCGCGUCUGCCUUGUAAGCGCUAGGCCGCGGGUUCGAUUCCCGUACGGGGCG
rnacentral:tRNA from 1 species